CUCUCUCUCUCUACCCGAGAGCUUCUCUGUCUUCAUCCUCACCGGAAAUCGCCGCCGUCACCGGAAUCCCAAUCCCCACCAAAAUUUCCAGAUUUUCUUCUCUUCAUCCCCUCUUUCCAUUUCUCCAACCAAAAUCAUGAAAUUUAACCAUUUAAUCCUCCAAAAACCUUAGAACCCGAAGCUAAAUUGGGGCUUUUUGUGAUUUCUUCUUUCCAAGUUCAAAUCAAGAGGCUAGGCUAUGGGUUUGGCAAGGAUUUGUGGUAAGGAUCUACCCAUGCAACCUUGUUUCGCAAUUUUUGGUGGUGAUAUUGAUGUUGGACGAAUUUGUAGCUGAAGAAGGCCAUGGAGGAGGCUUAGGCCGUGAGUUUUGAAGAAGAAAGGUGUGCAGGUUUCGAGCAUGUGGUCGGGAAGCGUACAGGGGAGGCACAUGGCCCGGCUUGGCGCAUUUCUCUUUAGUUUUAUCAAAAUGAAGGUUUUGGUCCCUUAUCGGAUUUUGAAGUAACUUAGUUAUUUAUUUUCUUACUAAUUUAUUUGUUUAUUUGUUUUCUAUUCUCUCAUUUACAAAAUUUCGAGAGACCCGUAACCCUGGGGCGCGUCUCUCAUACUUGUUUUUACUUCGUGAUUUGUUAUUUUCCAAAUUGGGCUCCUAUUGUAAGCCCAAAUCUUUUAGCUCACUUUAAAUUCUGCUUGCGAAAAUAUGUUGUUCGGUUGCUAGAAUGUUUUGUGACUUUUGUCCAAGAAAGUGUUUUGUAAACCAACAACCUAAACUCAAAAGGCCUUGCGGUUUCGGGUUGAUGAGCUAUCGAGAUGCCAUUCGUGACAUGUCGAUUCCUCACUGGCUCGGAGUCGCGGCGCUGUGGGACCCCCCUUUCGGGUCACCACAAGUAAUGACCUGUUGAGCAUCCGAUUCUACCAUCACCCUUGAUAAUUUGAGAUCCAAUGCAUGUAGCAUUAAUCCCGUCCAAGAUGGCAAAUGCUUCAGCCACUGCUGCCGACCUACAAAUGCCCGAUCUAGCAGAGCCACCAAUGACAUUACCCAGAUUGUCACGUAUCAUGACUCCAUAGCCACUUGUAGAAGACGGAUCAGACCAUGAGGCAUCGCAAUUUAUUUUUGCAAACCCAGGAGGAGGAGGGAUCCAUUUGGUAGAUGGCAUGGACAACGGAGUUAUAGCAGGUGGAAUCGGCCUAUUUACCUGCCAGAAUUCAUUAGCUUGAUUGAUCCCACUGGAGAUGAUGGCUUGGGGGCAGAGCGGUUUCCUCUGAUAUAUGUACUCACACCUUGCAACCCAUAUCUUCCAGCAGAUGAAGCUGAUCAAGAUCAACACUUGCUAUGUUCAAUGAUGCUGAAAAGAAAGGCUUGAUAACUCCUGGAGUGGUUAGCUAAGAGCCUCACACUACUACAAAUUUCCCCAAACCCCACUGAUUUGAAUUAGUCUCUAUUGGGACAAAGCAUACUGAUAAUAGUGGCUAAUGGCCAUUAGCCACUAUGCAGCUACUAAUGAGAUAUCAGUCCCCUCUAUUGCAGGUGCUAAUGUGCUAUUGGGACAAUCCACACUGUUAAAACAACAGUGACAUACCAAAAUCCAAUGCAGCAUAUAACCUUUUUCUCUCCCACUGUUAUUGUAUCAGUGUGUUUUCUCAAUGCCACCAACAUCAGUGGCAAAAUUUGGUGAAUAUAUAAAAAAAAAUAACAAUUUGGCCCACCAAAAUGUACUGUAUAAUUCUAAAAUAUACUUCCUCAAUUCAUAUACAACUUCAAAUAAAAUACAACAUAAAUCUCUUCAUCAUGUUCCUCCCCAUAGCUGCAUCUGCUACCUCUCCUCCAGCAACUUUUCUAUAAUUUCU